CUCUGGCUUUACUGUACCACAAGCAUGGUACAGCUACAUCAAUAGAAUAGUUUCAUUGUUACCUUGCUAUGAUUUGUUAAGCCGUAAACUCAUUAUUCUUUACUUAAAGGUAAUCAACGAUUCUCUCUGGGCCAGACAUUACAGGACACAAUAUUUAUGUAUUUGCUCUAAUCAUCGCGGUUCAUUUAUUUUAAGACUAUUGAAAUAAACUGAUGAGAGUAUUACCAGCUGGCUAAUAGAAGAGGAAUGAGAAAAACAGCUAGCAUGCAAACGAUAUGGCAACAGUUAGUUGCCAUGGUGCGCACUGUCCAUGAGGCAUUUCAAAACAAACAUAAUUGACGGUAGCAACUACACUGAGGAGUUCUGGAUUGACUGCAACAUCUGCUUGGAUCUGCAAACGAAGCUUCAGGACGAUGUUUCAUCUCAAUCACAAUGAAGUGAGAUUAGUCAAUUAUAGAUACUACAAUAAAGUAUCUUGGACCUGCAGAUUAUUUAAACAAAACCAAAUGCAUGGAUUCAAACAGGUAGUAGAGGAACAAAAUGUUUUUAGCAAUGGCUGCAGUAGAAGAUUGUGUUCUUGCCAGACUGCUCAUCCAUGGCCAAGCAGUGUACAGAGUGGGCAGAUACAGCUCAACCGUGCUGCCACUGAAAUGUUUGUUUUGUGCAAGGGUUCAAGGUAUUCUUCUCUAUUAAAGGUACAAUCUGUGAUUGCCUCAUAAAUUAUGGGGGAUUUUAAAAUGAAGGAUUCAUAGCCAUUCAUCCUGAAAGAAUAUACUAGCUUAGUUCAUUUGUAAAGAAGUUAUUUCUUUCCAUUCUUUUCAAACAAUGUAUAUCUUCAAUAAAAUGUAAAAUAAAAUGUUUUAAAGUGUACAAAUUAUGUUUAUCUCGAGGAUAGGUUUUCUCUCCGUUUUAUAAUAUAUUGCUCUGUUAAAUGUUGGUCUGCACUAUAGUAAAUAAAACUACGGUUCUGCUGUAAGUCCAAAAAAACUAUUAUCACUCUGUUUCCACAGAGUGAGUUGUAGUUCCCACCGAAUUGUGCUUUGCAGUGACACAGCUGUAAUACCAUCCAGGCCAAAGAGUAUGCAGAGUCCACAGAUCCAACUCACUGGCUCCCUGUCUCCCACCGCAUUGACUACAUGAUCCUCCUUCUAACUUACAAAACUCAUCACUACCUCCCCCCGUCCCUACGUCUCUGACCUUCUUCUCCGCUACCAAGACACACCUCAUUCCGUACCACCACAGCAGGCCACCUUGUGGUUCCCAGAUCCACGCUCCAGAGCUUCACUGACAGGACUUUCUCCAGGUUUCCUUCAAGGAUCUGGAACUCCCUCCCUCCAGCCACCUGUAACUCUUGAGUCCAUCACCAUCUUUAAGUCCCUCCUAAAGCCCCACCUCUUCACCAUGGCCUAACCUUAAGCCCCGCCCACUACAACCCCUGGUUCAGACUCCCGUUUGUCAACUUUGACCGUCUCCGGAGAAUCACCACCUUCAACAUCAACCUCUAACAUUUUCAAAAGCGACAACCACUAACAACAAUUAGCAAUCUGUUCUGUUGACUGUGUGAAGAUGUGAUGAUAUGCUUGACUCAGAUUACUUAUUCUUUUUGAGCUCCAUUGGCACUUUCAAGUUUAAUGUGGUGAUUCUUUGGAGACCGUCCAGGUUAGCGGCAUCAAUGUUCUUGUCUUUCUCCCUCAGAGGGACAUCUUUCUCCUUCCUGAUGCCGGUGCUGUCCUGUAAAGGAGAGAGAGGGGGGAGAUGUUAGAGAGACAACUAAAAUAAUGUCUCAUCAAAUGUUAGAAACUAACACAGUGCCCAGUAACGAUUGUCUUUCAAGUUUCAAUACCUACCUUAAUAAUGAUCAAUAAAUUGCAAGUCUGUUUGUCAUUAAAUAAUUUGUCAUUCUUCCUUUAUCUCAAGGUAAAAUAGUGCAU
rnacentral:lncRNA from 13 species